rnacentral:lncRNA from 1 species
CAACAGACAUUUAGUUUUUCACAGUUCUGGAUGCUGGAAGGUUACCAAAGGGGAAAGGGGGAGAGAAAUUAGGAGUUUGGGAUUAACUGAUACACACUGCUGUAUGUAAAAUCAAUAAACAACAAGAAGCUACUAUGUAGCACAGGGAACUAUAUUCAAUAUGUUGUAGUGACCUAUAAUGAAAAGGAAUCUGAAAAAGAAUAUAUAUGCACAUAUCACUUUGCUGCACACCGAAACUAAUACAACAUUGUACAUCAACUAUACUUCAUCUUUUUUUGAAGGACACUAAUCCUAACAAAUCAGGGCCCUGCCUUUGUGACUGCAUUUAGCCUUAAUUACCUCAUUAGAGGCCACACUGGAGGUUACAGCUUCAAUGUAUGAAUUUGGAAGGGCACAAACAUUCAGUCUAUAACAAUAGACAAGCCUCAACAGCCCCGACAUGUCCUGGGUUUUUCAGGAGGCUGUCUCAAAAAUUAGAGAUAUUUUUUUUUUGUCUUUUUAGGGGUGCACCCAUGGCAUACGGUGGUUCCCAAGUUCAGGGUCCAAUCAGAGCUGUAGCUGCCGGCCACAGCAACAUGGGAUCUGAGCCAAGUCUGCAACCUACAUGGCAGCUCAUGGCAAUGGCAACGCCAGAUCCUUAACCCACUGAGCAAGGCCAGGGAUCGAACCCAAAUCUUCAAGGAGUCCAGUCGAGUUCGUUAACCACUAAACCAUGAUCCACGAUUAGAGUUCUCAAUUUCUACAUGUCAUUACCACCUCCAGACUAUUACUCAGGAACAGGUCCUCUCUGUGGCUCACAGAGUUUCCGGAAAGAGAGGAAAAAAAAAAAAAGAACUAUUGUACUAUUCCAUGACUCGGAGUUGCAAGCAUGUUCAACUAUGCCUCUUCCUUCACCCUGUCACAGAGUGCAGGUCCCAGUGGAAAUUAAUGAGGAGCCCUACUCUAGAGUUAACUGUACUAAUGUUUUGAAAACACAUAUUUCGAAGAGCAAACUCCCAAUUGACCAAACCGUUAAUACCUGCUUCUCAGAAAAUACCAAUCACGAUAGAAACUGAGGUUUGGUAAUACGCAUUCUGCACUAAAAUAUUGCUAUUCCUUCGGCAAUUAAAGGUGUACACCAACACAAUAAAGUUUUAAGGUGAUUUAAUUCAGUAACACACAGUCUUAUGAAUAAAAAUUAUUGACUUUCACUUAGCCCUAUUUAAUUAUUAAACUCAUUGCUAUAAAAUUAGCUUAUUGAGUUAUUAUUUCAUACAAGACUGAUAUAUAUUUCAGAUCAUUCUCCAUUUUACAAAAUAACUCUUUUCACAUAUUUGUAUCACUUUACAAGUAUUUCUUUAACAUUCAUUGAAUUACUGACUUUUAUAUAUUUAAAGAUUAAUUUUGCUUAGAUAACUUGUGAAGAACAAUUGGAAUUUCUGUUUCUAGAAAUAGUUUGAUUCACAUUAAUUAUAAUAAUGACUUACAUCAAUGUUAAAGAAAAAUAUUGAACAUUAUUUUGCAUUUGUAGUUCCAUUGUGUCUUUAAUGAAUUUCUAAAGUCAUAGUACCUAAAUAGAAUUUCACAAGGUACUGGGACCAUUUAAUAUAGAAAUAAAUUUACUUUUGUAUUGAAUUUUUAUUAAGCGUCUAUGGCUCAGAUUUUAUGUAAGAGAAUUCCUUGAACUAUGGAUUUCCAUGUUUUACAUACUAAAGUGACACCUAUGGAUAGAGAGCAAAUGAAUGUGCUAUUUAUAAUAAUGACUUUGUUUUAGAUAGAGUUACAUAAUACAUUUAUAUGACUUUAUUAUGUGAGUGGUUUAGAAGUGUCUUGUGUUCCUUUUACUUUGCUUGUUUUUAAUAAACUAUGUGUGUGAGAGUCUGCGUGUGUUCAUGUAUUUUUAUCUUCUCAAGUAUUACCUAAUAGCAUUACAAGAUAUAUAGUGAUAAAAAUGUGCCUUAUAUUUAGUCAAUUCACAUUUCUUUAUGUAUACUUUAGGAAUAUUUGUUUUAAAAUGAUAUUCAACUUUUUUUGACAUAUUCAAGUAUAGGAAAGAAAAGUUUAAUGAAAGAUAUCGUGGAACGAUUUAUGUGCAAAGAGUUUAGAAGUUAAUUUUGCUUUAUUGACCAAAAUAAAAUGAGGAAACAAAGAUUUACUAGGGUCAAGAUAUUAAUUGGAACAGAAAAUAUAACUCUUUAUUCUGAAAUGCACCUGCAUGUUAACAACAGUUUGAAAAUCUGAAGCACAGAUUUUAAAUGAAUGUACAAUGAAAUUUUAAACUUUUUUAUUCCCCGUAAAAUCAUUUUCAAGGUGAAAUGGAAGUUAAGUACAUUUAAAGACUUUUGGAGCAGAAAAUAGAUUUACUUCAGGUGGUACUGGGUAAACUUUCAGUUUGUAAUGAAAUAGAUAUUCUUUACUAUUCAUGAUAAGGGUGAAUAAAAAUGAAGCACUUAGUUUAAAAAAAUAAACUGGAAAGAAUGUAACACUUUCACUCCUUAGGUUCUUAAGUCAUUUUUUUUUGUUGUUGUUGUUCUUUUGUUCUGUAAUUGAUUGCUAGCACCCCCUUUAACCCACCUUAAAGGGCAGCAGGAAAUUCAUGUUUUCGUUCAUCAGCCCAUCCCUCUGAAAGGCGUUCGAUAUUAAAACAGUUUGCAGGGAGCAAAAGCAGAGGAAACAAGAGGCCCAGCUAGCCUGUAGCAAGGUUAGAAGAUACACUGCAAGAUUGCCUGCAACAUUGCAUCGAGUCUUGUUCCUGUCCAGUAUUUGCAUGGAGAGAUCAAGUUAAUUAGGGUAUGACUGUUCUUCACUUUCUAUGUGACCUUUUAUUCUAUCUGUGGCUCUCUAGUUCAUGCGGUGUCAUAAAGCUAUGGGAAAGUCUUUCUAGCUGUUUGACACAAACUGGAAAAAAUUAAGCAUUGAUAUUUCCUUUUGCCUGAAGGUUUUUACAGCAGCAAAUUACUGCAGCGGCAAAGUUGAUGUUGUGGUAGAUUUGCUGUGGGUGUCAGAAUGUUUCUUUUGUCUUUUUAGCUCCCCGCCUUCCCUGAUGAUCAGGUGCGACCAAGAGAGUUGUGCAGAGAGGUGGGGGUGGGGGAGGGGGUUCAGGAAGAGGUUACAUGGCAGAAUUCCCACGAAUGCUGGCGAAGGAUGAAAAAGAUAAAGAAAUCUUGUUUUUCUGAACUAGAGGAUUCUCUGCAUGACUUCCCCACUGUUGGGGUGAUGAGCUUUCAGGCUAAGAUUUUAUUAACAAUUCAUAUGGAGAUUGAGGGCAGCGGAGGAGCAGAUUCUCACAUAAACUUGAUCUGUCCAUGAAUGCUGUUCUCUGUUUGCCCUGACCCUGCAUGGCUUAAGACACUGCCUGUGAGGCCAGUGUGCCAGACACAAAGAAAGAAAUGAAAAGCAAGCACAUUCCAGGAGUCUGCACAAAAGACCCAGCAGUUUCUAGUCGUCUCCCCAGAGAGGAUCUUAUCUCUGCAUGGCCAAAAACCUCUAGAAUGUUUUCAUUUGUGUACCCAAAGUUUUAAAAUUGACAUGGCCGUUUAUUAGGCAGUAGCCUAUAGCCCUGUUUUCUUAGGUUUUAAAGUUUUGUUCUCAGAACUUGUUGAAACUAGAAAAACAUAUGCAAGGGUGCAUUUUGUGAAGUUUGGCUUUAAAAGUCACUGGCCUUGAAUUGUUUUUACUUUGUUGAUUGGUAGGUACCUUGAAAAAUGAAUCCUUUUCAGCUUUAAGAGAAGCCAGAACAACAUUUUAAAGCUUGACUUGACUUCAUGAUGCCUUAUGACACUGCAACUCUGAAACUUGUGGCAGAGUUAAGGCGUGAGAUGAAAUUGACAUGGGGGCGCAAGCCAGCCACCCCCAUGCUCCUGAGCACAGACAACCUAGCUACAUUAAAGAAAGAAGCAAGUGAAAAGUUUGAGUGAGACAAAAGUGCAAGGGAGUCAGGGACUUUUAACGUUGUAAUAUUUCAGCAAUUAUUGGCAGUUCACUAUUUUAUCUAGAUGCAUUAAAACAGGAUCAUAACAAACUAUCACAAGAUAUUUCUUUGUAAUUUAAUAUACUACAUUUUAUCACCUAACAAAUGCACAUUCCAGGUGUCAGAUAUAUUAAAGUUUGGGGAUAAAUAUUUGAUAAACAUAAUUAAUUCGGUUGCUAAAUUACGUGUUUCCACAGAUUCUUAAAAAUCGGAAAAUCCAGAUACACAGACUCUUGAAUUUUGUGUAUGUGUUUAGCUGUUCAAGUUGUUUCAAACUUUUAUAGUUCAUGAAUUAAAUAACCAGUAGAGGAAUGCAGGCAAAUGCUAUUAAUUAUGAUAGGCUUUGUUCCUUUCAUUUUAUAAUGGUUUUAUUUCCAUGAAAUUAACUGUUGUACUUAGGCUAAUUGUCAGUAAUUGGUGACAGAAUCACUUCAUUGUUUUUCUAUAGCAUGAUACUAAUUAGGAUCUUUGCAGUAUUGGCUCAGCCAUGUUCUAUAUUCUACCUUCUAUAUUGAAUCAUUGGUACAUAAAAUCAAGUGCAACUUUAAAAAAAAUCCAUUAGAUAAAAUGUUUCUAUUAAUAAUUAAAUCUUUUAAACAGCUAGUUGUAAAUUAAUUUUAAAAUAUUGAAAUAGAAGGAAGCUUUAUUAUAGAUUUGUUGGGUUCAUGAAACAUCAAUUGAUCUUUCGGAUUUGAAUUGAAUCCAGUGGAAUCAUCCUUAAAAUAUCACAGCUGUAAUUCCAACUCCUGAGCCACAUGCAUUUUUAUUAUUCUGUUUGUGUCUGCAACAUUGAAAUUAGCACUGCUAAAGUGUUUUGGUAAGGUAUCACAGGACUGGAUCCAUUGUCUUUCUUUUCAUGCCUGAUAGAGAUAUCAUAAAAUAUAGCAUAUUUUUGUUUGUUUUCUAACUAGUUUUUUUUUUGCCACAAGAAAAUGGUUUUUGAAGCACUUAUAUUUCAAAUGAAAAUAUAUAUGAAUAGUUGUGAUUAUAAGAGCUUAGUUUUAUGCUUUGCUUUUAAAUUUAGAAGAUUGUGUUCCAUGUGGUUGACAGGUUAUAAAAAGAGAAAAUGAGAGAAUAUUCUAUUUUGUGAAGUGAGGUUUAAUGCCGAUGGGAGAAAAUAUUACAACUCUGUAUAUCCUAUUAAAACAAUCACAGUCAAUACUACUUUGCUCAUUUUUAAAAGAAUUCUUCUCAUCCAAUUCACCUGUGAUCUGUAUGAAUUUGUAAGUUAUGGAAGUUUUCUAAUAGUUUGAGGUAUAGCCUCCUUGCUUCUUUUCCUUGUUCUAUGGUACUUUUACCAAUCCGGUGCAUUUUGCAGUUUACAGUGAACUCAGUUUGUUUUAAAAGCAACCAUAAUGUAUAACUUAGAGCUUAGUGCCUCACAGUUCUGAAAAAAGUUUUUAAGAAGUGAUUAGGAAAAUAAUUGCCUAUUAAAAGGUGAAGAUUGGUUUAAGCAGGGAGAGAAGAAACUGAACUCUGAAAUUGAAAGCAUUCAUUGUUAGCAUGACACAUAUGCACCAAAUCUGAAAUUAAAGAAAACUCACGAAAUACGUAUCUUGGCAAGGGGAAUUGUUUAAAUUUUCUAAAGCUGUCAGCCCAUUUUCUGUUUUUUUGUUUUUUUUUUUUUUUUCUUUUUCUGUUCAAGAACAACUUCAAAAGGAAAGCUUCACCUUUUGUACAAAGUUGAAAUGUUUUAUUAUUGCAGGAUCGUUCUACACUGUACAAAAACAGAACAAUUCAAUAGCUGGGGUUGGGGGGGGGCACCAAUGAGAAUCUUUCUAUCAUUUUAGAAAGUCCAUAGCAAAGCACAAAAACUAUAAAAAUCUAUGAUUGUUUCCUUAAAAAGAGAAUCUUUUGAUUUACAGCAGUUAUUUGAAUACCCAUUCGGGCUCUUUUGUAAUGUGUUGGAAUAAAUGCACUUCUCCUAAAUGAAGAAUACUCAUGAGGGGGCAGAAUUCCAACAUAAACUAUGUUUAGAUGCUGUAUCUCAAUAGGUGACCCCAUAACAUUAAACAAAGGUUCUUUUUCUCUUCUCUCUGUUUUGUUCUCUGGAAAAUAAAUUCCUCAAAGCAAAAUUCAGUUUGUUCCUUUUUCACCCUAUUGGCAGAUAUGCAAUAUAUCCUCUGUCUCUUAUCAAAUAUACAGAUUAUGAAAAAUAGACAAGGUCAAAACGGACUUUUAGGUUUAAAAAUGAGAAAGUAUUCUAAAAGUUACUUUGGGAAGAUCUUUUUUUCUUUUUUAUUCAUCCUGCCUUAUAGACUCUGGAGUGUACAAUGCAACGGGGGUUUUCUUUCUUGAGGAUUCGAAGUGUACACGGAAAACACAAGAGAGGAAAUGGGACUCUGGUAAUACCGUGAGCCACAUCCAUGGGCAUUUAAAUCCUAUAG